CAGUAGCCGCGGGAAUACGUAGGGUGCGAGCGUUAAUCGGAAUUACUGGGCGUAAAGCGAGCGCAGACGGUUAUUUAAGCAGGAUGUGAAAUCCCCGGGCUUAACCUGGGAACUGCGUUCUGAACUGGAUAGCUAGAGUGUGUCAGAGGGGGGUAGAAUUCCACGUGUAGCAGUGAAAUGCGUAGAGAUGUGGAGGAAUACCGAUGGCGAAGGCAGCCCCCUGGGAUAACACUGACGUUCAUGCUCGAAAGCGUGGGUAGCAAACAGGAUUAGAUACCCCGGUAGUCCCUGUCUCUUAUAC
rnacentral:rRNA from 1 species